rnacentral:rRNA from 1 species
CCUUCGGGCGCUGACGAGUGGCGGACGGGUGAGUAACGCGUAGGAAUCUGCCUGUUAGUGGGGGACAACGUGGGGAAACUCACGCUAAUACCGCAUACGCCCUACGGGGGAAAGGAGGGGAUCUUCGGACCUUUCGCUAACAGAUGAGCCUGCGUUAGAUUAGCUAGUUGGUAGGGUAAAGGCCUACCAAGGCGACGAUCUAUAGCUGGUCUGAGAGGACGAUCAGCCACACUGGGACUGAGACACGGCCCAGACUCCUACGGGAGGCAGCAGUGGGGAAUAUUGGACAAUGGGCGCAAGCCUGAUCCAGCAAUACCGCGUGUGUGAAGAAGGCCCUAGGGUUGUAAAGCACUUUCAAUGGGGAGGAAAACCUGCCGGUCAAUACCCGGUAGCUUGACAUUACCUAUAGAAGAAGCACCGGCUAACUCCGUGCCAGCAGCCGCGGUAAUACGGAGGGUGCAAGCGUUAAUCGGAAUUACUGGGCGUAAAGCGUGCGUAGGCGGCUCGUUAAGUCAGAUGUGAAAGCCCUGGGCUCAACCUGGGAACUGCAUUUGAAACUGGCGAGCUAGAGUUGAGUAGAGGGGAGUGGAAUUUCAGGUGUAGCGGUGAAAUGCGUAGAUAUCUGAAGGAACACCAGUGGCGAAGGCGACUCCCUGGACUCAAACUGACGCUGAGGUACGAAAGCGUGGGUAGCAAACAGGAUUAGAUACCCUGGUAGUCCACGCCGUAAACGAUGUCAACUAGCCGUUGGUCCUAUUUACAGGAUUAGUGGCGCAGCUAACGCAUUAAGUUGACCGCCUNNNGAGUACGGCCGCAAGGUUAAAACUCAAAUGAAUUGACGGGGGCCCGCACAAGCGGU